rnacentral:rRNA from 1 species
AUUAAACGCUGGCGGCAUGCCUUACACAUGCAAGUCGAACGGUAGCGCGGGGCAACCUGGCGACGAGUGGCGAACGGGUGAGUAAAGCAUCGGAACGUGCCCUGGAAUGGGGGAUAACGUAGCGAAAGUUACGCUAAUAUUGCAUAUUCUGUGAGCAGGAAAGCAGGGGAUCGCAAGACCUUGCGUUCUGGGAGCGGCCGAUGUCGGAUUAGCUAGUUGGUGGGGUAAAAGCCUACCAAGGCGACGAUCCGUAGCGGGUCUGAGAGGAUGAUCCGCCACACUGGGACUGAGACACGGCCCAGACUCCUACGGGAGGCAGCAGUGGGGAAUUUUGGACAAUGGGCGGAAGCCUGAUCCAGCCAUGCCGCGUGAGUGAAGAAGGCCU